CUUGCUUUCACUUUAUGGACCUGCCCUGAAUUCUCUCUUGUGGGAAUCCAAGAACCCUCUCUUGGGGUCUGGAUCGGGACUCCUUUCCUGUAACACUAUUAUUACUGACUUAUGAAUAUUCUAGGGUUGUUGCGAAGUCUGGGUGCGAGUCAGGCACAGUGUUUACCUGCUUGGCCCUGCAGUGUCCAGCCAGGUUCGUGGCCUCCUGCCUCUGUGACCCUGUUCAAGUGACCUCCCUGCUCUGGGACUGUCUGUUCCCCCAUAAUAUGGAGACCUCUAUAUUGCUCUUC
rnacentral:lncRNA from 1 species